AUUGAACGCUGGCGGCAGGCCUAACACAUGCAAGUCGAACGGUAACAGGAAGAAGCUUGCUUCUUUGCUGACGAGUGGCGGACGGGUGAGUAAUGUCUGGGAAACUGCCUGAUGGAGGGGGAUAACUACUGGAAACGGUAGCUAAUACCGCAUAACGUCGCAAGACCAAAGAGGGGGACCUUCGGGCCUCUUGCCAUCGGAUGUGCCCAGAUGGGAUUAGCUAGUAGGUGGGGUAACGGCUCACCUAGGCGACGAUCCCUAGCUGGUCUGAGAGGAUUACCAGCCACACUGGAACUGAGACACGGUCCAGACUCCUACGGGAGGCAGCAGUGGGGAAUAUUGCACAAUGGGCGCAAGCCUGAUGCAGCCAUGCCGCGUGUAUGAAGAAGGCCUUCGGGUUGUAAAGUACUUUCAGCGGGGAGGAAGGGAGUAAAGUUAAUACCUUUGCUCAUUGACGUUACCCGCAGAAGAAGCACCGGCUAACUCCGUG
rnacentral:rRNA from 1 species